UACAGAGGUCCCAAGCGUUUGUUCGGAUUCACUGGGCGUAAAGGGUGCGUAGGCGGUCGGGUAAGUCUGAUGUGAAAUCUCACAGCUUAACUGUGAAACUGCACUGGAUACUAUCCGGCUAGAGGAAUGGAGGGGAGACUGGAAUACUUGGUGUAGCAGUGAAAUGCGUAGAUAUCAAGUGGAACACCAGUGGCGAAGGCGAGUCUCUGGACAUUUCCUGACGCUGAGGCACGAAAGCCAGGGGAGCAAACGGG
rnacentral:rRNA from 1 species